AGUGAACGCUGGCGGUAGGCCUAACACAUGCAAGUCGAACGGCGGCACAGUAAGAGCUUGCUCUUACGGGUGGCGAGUGGCGGACGGGUGAGGAAUACAUCGGAAUCUACUUUUUCGUGGGGGAUAACGUAGGGAAACUUACGCUAAUACCGCAUACGACCUACGGGUGAAAGCAGGGGAUCUUCGGACCUUGCGCGAUUGAAUGAGCCGAUGUCGGAUUAGCUAGUUGGCGGGGUAAAGGCCCACCAAGGCGACGAUCCGUAGCUGGUCUGAGAGGAUGAUCAGCCACACUGGAACUGAGACACGGUCCAGACUCCUACGGGAGGCAGCAGUGGGGAAUAUUGGACAAUGGGCGCAAGCCUGAUCCAGCCAUACCGCGUGGGUGAAGAGGGCCUUCGGGUUGUAAAGCCCUUUUGUUGGGAAAGAAAAGCAGCAGGUUAAUACCCCGCUGUUCUGACGGUACCCAAAGAAUAAGCACCGGCUAACUUCGUG
rnacentral:rRNA from 1 species